UACGUAGGGGGCGAGCGUUGUCCGGAAUCAUUGGGCGUAAAGCGCGUGUAGGCGGCCCGGCAAGUCGGAUGUGAAAGCCCGGAGCUCAACUCCGGAGCUGCAUCCGAUACUGGCGGGCUUGAGGCAGGGAGAGGAGAGUGGAAUUCCCGGUGUAGCGGUGGAAUGCGCAGAUAUCGGGAGGAACACCAGCGGCGAAGGCGGCUCUCUGGGCCUGUCCUGACGCUGAGACGCGAAAGCAUGGGGAGCGAACAGG
rnacentral:misc_RNA from 1 species